CGCGGAGUAGAGCAGUUGGUAGCUCGUCGGGCUCAUAACCCGGAGGUCGUAGGUUCGAGUCCUGCCUCCGCAA
rnacentral:tRNA from 1 species